AUGUUGAUGCAAGACUACUUCGCGGAGAAUCCUACAUAUCCACCACACCUCUUCCGGAGAAGGUACCGAAUGCACCGAUCUCUUUUUGUGAAAAUUGUUCAAGCUUGCAAGACAAAUUGCCGGUACUUUACUCAAAGAAGAAAUGCUACGGGCUUAAAGGGAUUUAGUGCAUAUCAAAAAAUCUCCGCAGCUAUGCGGGUGAUUGUGAAGGAAAUAUGCCCUAGAGGCAAUAAUAAAGUUAUUAUUUAUUUCCUUAUUUCAUGA
rnacentral:rRNA from 1 species